AGGAGACAAUAUAGGGGUAGGAAGCACAGCCGGGGUAACAGGACAAGGCGACACAAGCGAUGCAAUACCACCGGACUUCUUAGCACGAAUAAUAAAGGAAGUCGUAUUCCUGGGCGCAUAAGGCGCAAAUCUAGGAUUAAACUUCUUCUUAGGAUAAAACUUACGUGCUUUCAAACGAUUCUGAGAUUGCAACUCAUGAAGAGUUGGUGGUUGGUAACCGACACUGCUGUUCGGAAUACCGAUGGAAAUGCUUUGGUUAGGUUUUUCCAUUCUCCUAAUAUCUUUGCGCUUAUCACUAACCUUCUUUCCCUUCCAGUUAUUAUUACUUCGUCCAGGUUUCGAAGGAGGGAAAUUAGGUUUCAUAUUAGGGUUCUGAAACUUCAUGUUAGGGUCCAGAGGAAGCUGUUGAGACCAAACCUUAUUAUAACCACGAUUCAUCAUCUGAGGCUGAUUCUGAUUCAUCAUAAUCUGAGAUGUCUUCAUCUGCGGUUGAGGUUGUUGAUUCAUUCCUUGAUUGUGUGUGUGAGAAAGUAACUGAGUCUGAGACUGGUUAAUUACCUGAGGCUGAUUCAUCAUCGGAACUUGAUUCAUCAUCUGAGGCUGGUUCAUCUGGUUCAAAUUCAUCAUCAUCUUCGAUUGAUCGUUCAUCGUAACCAAACCCUAAGUGCGUCUAACGAAUUCUUGCAAUUUCGAUUAAUAGUUAAGAGCGAAAAUAUUAUCACCGAUCAGAAAAUUCUUGAUCGGCGGCGAAUUGGAGAUCGAUUCGAAACCCUAAAUCUCUUUUUCUCUAAUUUAGAACUGUGAGAUAUUGGGAUUAAAUUUUCAAGAAAUUAACCUAUCUAAGGGUGAAACCGUUUUCGCAUAUGUAGAUUUCACAAACCUAUAGAUUGAGAAAACCCUGGUUUUGAUUAUUAAAUUUUUUUUCUGAUUUACUAUUCUCGAAAAAUGUGGUUAUCGUUGUUUCUUGAAGUGAUCGUGCGAACAGAAGGGGGUUAUAUAAUGGGUUGGGAAUAAAGUGGGCGGCUAGAUUUUGAUCCGACAAACGGACGGUUUGGAUUUCAUAUGCGUGAUGAACACGCGUCAAUAGCGCCUAAAAGAUCGAUUCUUGAUUUCUCCUUUAUUUUAUUUUUAAUUUUUAAUUUAAUAGUAAUAUUUUUCUUUAAUUAAUUUAAUAAUAUUAAUUUUUUAUUUGAGUGUACGUGUAACGUCAUUGAUAACAUAAGUUACUACAUAUGAUUUAAUUGAUAUGGAAUAAUAAAAUUAUAAACAAAAUAGUUUAAACGGGAACAGAAAGUAUAGAUAUUUUAUAAUAAAAAAUCAAUUACUUAAAUGAAUAAAGAAAGAUAAAUUGUAAAAUUAAAAGGAAAAAUUCACACCAAAUUUUCAUAUUUAAUUUAUACAUAGUAUAAAAGUAUAGAGUUUUACAUAGUGACAUGGAUUAAUGAUAUAAGGAGCUCAGUUUGAUUUUAAUUUCUUUUUUAUAUCAAAAACAAUUUAAUAGGUAUUGAGGAUGACAUAAUGGGUUCAAAUGUGAUAAACUCAAAUUUAAAUUUUUGUUAAAAAAUAUAUUUAUAUUUAAUGCGUCUUGAAUUAUUAUCUCUAAUAUAAAAUACCUCUAAGAAAUCAUAAAAAGAAUAAAGAACUCUUCAUGUUCAAUUAAAAUAAAAAAACUUAAUUGUUAUAGUUUGUCUUCAAUGAUAUAAAUAUUUUAGGUUCAUUAUGUGUUUUCAUAUCCUGUCGGAUGUAGAGCUUCUUUGAAACGGGUCAUGACCACCACAAACUUUCCAAAAAUUCUCAAUAAUUCUUUUAAGACAUGAUUGUUCAUGAGGUCAUUUAAAUUAAUUUUGGAGUCAUUUAUCUUCUUUUUUUCGAUUUGGUCUUUUAUUUAAUUUUAUUACAAAAAUUUAAAAAUAUAAAUAAUAAAAAUAUGAGUUUAUUUAAAGAUUUUAAUUAUAAAUAUGAUAAAAUUUACAUUCUAAUGAAGAUGAUAAUUAAUUUUAUUUAAAGAUUUACAUUCUAAUAAAAAUAUGAUAAAAUUCUAAUGAAGAUGAUAAAAUUCUAAUGAAGAUGAUAAAGAUUUACAUUCUAAUGAAGAUGAUAAAAAUAUGAUAAAAUUUACAUUCUAAUAAAAAUAUGAGUUUAUUUAAAGAUUUUAAUUAUUAAAUAUUUUAGUUUUUUUCUUUUAAUAUUUUACUGACAUGAAAAGUUUAUCGAGAUAGUUUUGAUGUUCAAGUUCUUAAAAUAAUCUUGCAACUCAUAUACCUAUUAGGAUUGGGGUUCCAUUUCAUUAAAUUACUUGAAAAUAUAAGGAAACGUUUGAUUUAGUCUUUCAAUUAUACAAAUGUGGCCAUAUAUAUGCAUUCCCCCAUAACAGAUCAAAAUAUAAUAAUCGAAAAAAUGAUAUCUUGUCAAAUUUCUCUUAUUGGAGAUUUUAAUUAAUUGAAUUAUCCAUUUCAACACUAUCACUAUUACACAUUUCCUAUUUAAAUAAUUUUAAAAGUGGUUUAAUUAUAUUCCAUUUGAUUAUUUAAAAUGAUAUCUCAUCGCAUAUCUUAUUUAUCUAUUUUAAUUUACAAGGAUUAUAUAUGUUUUUAGUCCUAAAAUAACUAUGAUCUUUUAAGUUUAGUUAUUUACAAAAAUGUAUCCACUUUUAUUCCAUAUAUUAAUGAUUUUACAGAGACUUUUUUUAAGGACUAAAAGUAUUAACUUUUUUAAUUUUUUUUAAAUAGGAACUAAAAGUGAAUAAAAUAAUGUUUUUAAAGAGUAAAAAUUUAAAUUUUUUAUAAAAAAAUAAAAAAACAAAUAAAUAGUCGUUUUUUGGAAACAGCUACAAUAAAAGGAAGCGUUUAAAAUAAAAUAAAAAUGACUUUAUUUUUAGAAUAAAAUGUUUUUUUUUCUUCUUGUAGAGAGUGCUUAAUAAAAACAUCUAGCAACCAGGAUUUUGACCAAUGAUAGUAUGUCGUAUUCAAAAAAUUGAAAAUAAACAAUAGACGCUAAAGAAGGAGUCUGUCUCCAAUGCACAAUCCAUCUGUCAAUCAAUCCGUGCCACAUUCUCAAACAACGGGCUCUCAAAAGAAACGCCACAGAUAUGAAUGAAAGCAUGAAAUUUAAAAUACAUAAUUCAAAUUAACUGAUGUUUACUGUGUAACAUGUCGACACAGAAGUAAAGUAGGAGAAGCUUGAGCUUUGCAAGGAUCUCCCGGACGCAUGAUAUGAUGACGUGAAGUUAGAUUGAACUCAUAACAGAAUAAAAUCAAUGGAAGCCUAGAGAUCUCCUACAAACUGCAAUCUGCAGACGCAAUGAACGGAAGUGUGAGCCUACAGCAGCUAUUAUACAUUCCACGAUCAGUUCAUAAAUCGACUGGGGAACAUGUUAACCACAUAUUAUACAACAUUAUACAAUGGCGCAUUUUUCACCCUAACUUAUAGUAUUACCUAGAAGUGGCUCAGAUAGUAUCUGCAAAAACAGGAAACCAUGGUGGUGCAUAUAAGCUUAGAGUAGAUAAAACAGAGUAACCAAGUGUAACACACUUCAGAAAAAGGAUCACCCACUUGCGCAUGACCAAAGUUUUAGAUUCAAAAAAAUGAUCAAAAGAUCUUCCAUUCAAUCUAUUCAAAAGAUAAUUGACACAUGGCUUCUCUUCAAGUACACAACACUGUGAAAUGUAAAGCAUUUGGAAUCCGAUGAGAAUAAAAAAAUACUAUUUGAGGCAUUACCAUCAUAGUCACUUCCAUUUUCUCCUCUGAAGUAGUUUCCCGGCCUCCAUUUCCAUGCAAACGCUUGUAAUUUCAAACCCCUACAUCAUCCACCUUAACUCACGGUAUUGCCGCAUCUAAUUGUGAAAUUGAAUACCCCUUUGAAUGAUCUGGUAGAAACACUGCUUUAAAUCAAACUUGGGAGUUCAAAGCUACCAAACAUUAAGAGCAAUAGCCAUGUUUCACAUCAAAUUCAAUAUGCAAGCUCUCAUAUUUGUACCAUGGUUAUGCUAAGACUUUCACUGUUUUUCACUCACAAGAGCAAAACAUGGCAUAACCAGAUACCGCUUAAAAGUUCAUGUUAAAAGUAGCAUAACCUUUGCACAAUUCAAUCAUGUCCAUCAAAGAGAACAAACACAAUCUUUGCACAGUUCAAUCAUAUCCAUCAUAUAGAACUAGCACAAGCUUUGCACAAUCAAAUCGACAUAAAACAUGUACCUCAAAUUUGCAUGGUAAUCAUUAGUUCUCCUUACAAACUCACAGGUUCUUUACAUGCUACUGAGUAUAAUAUUUUAAAAUACACUUUAAUCCCUUGUACAUAAACGAAAAAACAUGGCAGAACCAGAUAUCAUUUAAAAAUUCAUGCUAAAAAAGGUGAGGUGUAAAUUUGUAAAUCUGAACUUCUUACAAAUACUACAUAUUUAAAUGACUAGAAAAAAGGUAUAAUUAAUCUACUAUGAAAGCUUUCCUCACUUGAAAGGACUUCGUGCAGCAGUCUGACAAAAUUCACCACGGGCUAGAAAAUACUUCUGCCAUCAUCAUACAGAAUUAGCUCAACCUUCGCACAAUUUAAUCACCCAAUCAAAUCAAAAUAAAACAAGUAUCUCAUAUUUUUAUGGUCAUUCAAAUCAAAAACAAGUAUCUCAUAUUUGUAUGGUCAUUCGUGAAUAUCUAAGAUACUUUUUUAAGAAGCAACAAGAAAAAUUCAUCACGAGGGAGUAUAGUGAACCCUGCCCAAGCAAAAUAUAAGGCAACGACAAAUGAAAAAGAAAAAACCAAUUUCAUGAAAUUAACUAAAAGUAGAAAAAGUACAUGGUAAUCAUUAGUUCUCCUUACAAAUUCACAGGUUCUUUACAUGCUACUGUGUAGAAUAUUUUGACAUACACUUUAAUCCCUUGUACAUAAACGAACCUGCAAACUUACGGCCCUUUUCCUACUAUUUUUCUACAGACCUACCCAACCAAACCCUGCCCCGCCCCUGAAGGAAAAGAAAAGAAAGACAAAGGAAGGAAACUCAGCUCUUGGCCCUUAUGGUCCUCUCUCAAAAACCAAGAGAUGCGACUGAGAAAGCAACCCUUACCUAAUCUUUCAUUUUACCAACCAUACAAAUAGAAAAAAGAGACAAAAUAAAAGUAAACUAGUAAUCUACGAGGCUGCAAAUACCAUAUCCAUUACAAAGUAGUAGAAUUUGCUCACUAGCCUUCCCCUCAAAGCCUACUCGAGGAAUGGCUUCAGCUAAUGUGGGACAGACAAAUCAUCAUCUCCAACAGUCUCUGAGCUUGUUCCAACUAUCUGACUCUGACAUUCAUCCUUCUCAAUCAAUAAGCCAUCUGUACUUUCAUGUGUUGCUACAUGGGUUUUUGAUUCAUCAUUUCUAUCAAUCAUUUCAUUCUCACCACUUUCUUUUGUAUCCACGGCAUCAUUUUCUUUGGCAAAAACCUCGUCUGGCAAACACAGUUGUGUUGCUAAUUCACCCUUCUGCUCAUUGUUCUCUUCCUUCACUUCAUUGUUAAACACAAAGCCACCCCCCAUUUCAUUACCUUUGAUCUCAUCCUGAUUCACAACCACCACAUUCGGAACAGACUCUUCCAUAAAAGCAUCAUCUUCAGCUUCGGAUACUCCAUCAUUGUCUAACUUAGCAGUAGCACUGGCAUCAAUGUCUCCAUUUCUCUCACUUUCCAGCAUGGAAUCAACUAUCUCAACAUUAUUCUCAAUUCCCAUAACAGGUAAAUCUGAUCCCCCAUCGCUUUCAUUAUCAGACCCAUUCUCCACCACUUCCUCAUUGACGUCUUCCACAACCUGGUUCUGCCUCUCAAGAAACAGUAACCUCCUCCGUAGAUCACCCAACUCCCUCUCCAUUAGGAAAAGGCGCUCCCUCAAUGUCAAAUUCUCUUCCUCCAAUUGUGCUAUAUGGGAAUCCUGAUCAUCUACCCUAUUCUCCAACACAUUGUUAUACUCACCACCUCCAUAAUUCGGAUAUAUCAUCUCAAACCGGCUCAAAUCAUGGUCGAGCCUCCUUUCUACCUCCACAUGUUCCUCUACAUCACUCUCACUAGACCCACCACCACCAUCCUCUUCAUCUUCAUCAUCAUGAACAUCUCGAAGCCUAAUCAAACCCUUCAUUGACCCAUAUCCAUCAACACCCCACUCUUCCUUCGCCAUAUCCCCCAACAUCUCCCUCGAAGGAGACAAUAUAGGGGUAGGAAGCACAGCCGGGGUAACAGGACAAGGCGACACAAGCGAUGCAAUACCACCGGACUUCUUAGCACGAAUAAUAAAGGAAGUCGUAUUCCUGGGCGCAUAAGGCGCAAAUCUAGGAUUAAACUUCUUCUUAGGAUAAAACUUACGUGCUUUCAAACGAUUCUGAGAUUGCAACUCAUGAAGAGUUGGUGGUUGGUAACCGACACUGCUGUUCGGAAUACCGAUGGAAAUGCUUUGGUUAGGUUUUUCCAUUCUCCUAAUAUCUUUGCGCUUAUCACUAACCUUCUUUCCCUUCCAGUUAUUAUUACUUCGUCCAGGUUUCGAAGGAGGGAAAUUAGGUUUCAUAUUAGGGUUCUGAAACUUCAUGUUAGGGUCCAGAGGAAGCUGUUGAGACCAAACCUUAUUAUAACCACGAUUCAUCAUCUGAGGCUGAUUCUGAUUCAUCAUAAUCUGAGAUGUCUUCAUCUGCGGUUGAGGUUGUUGAUUCAUUCCUUGAUUGUGUGUGUGAGAAAGUAACUGAGUCUGAGACUGGUUAAUUACCUGAGGCUGAUUCAUCAUCGGAACUUGAUUCAUCAUCUGAGGCUGGUUCAUCUGGUUCAAAUUCAUCAUCAUCUUCGAUUGAUCGUUCAUCGUAACCAAACCCUAAGUGCGUCUAACGAAUUCUUGCAAUUUCGAUUAAUAGUUAAGAGCGAAAAUAUUAUCACCGAUCAGAAAAUUCUUGAUCGGCGGCGAAUUGGAGAUCGAUUCG
rnacentral:lncRNA from 1 species